UGAAUAGGUAAGCUAAAUUAAAGCUAUUGGGCUCAUAACCCAACAAUGGAGAUUAACCCCCUUUUCA
rnacentral:tRNA from 1 species